AGUCCCGCAACGAGCGCAACCCUUAUAGUUAGUUGAUUUCUCUAGCUAGACUGCCCUGGUAACAGGGAGGAAGGAGGGGAUGAUGUCAGGUCAGUAUUACCCUUACGUCUGGGGCUACAAACACGCUACAAUGGCCGGUACAAAGGGCAGCCAACCCGCGAGGGGGAGCUAAUCCCAUCAAAGCCGGUCUCAGUUCGGAUUGCAGGCUGAAACUCGCCUGCAUGAAGCUGGAAUCGCUAGUAAUGGUAGGUCAGCUAUACUACCGUGAAUACGUUCCCGGGUCUUGUACACACCGCCCGUCAAACCAUGAAAGUGGCCAACACCCGAAGUCUGAUUACAGCCUAAGGUGGGGGACAUGAUUGGGGUUAAGUCGUAACAAGGUAACCGUAA
rnacentral:rRNA from 1 species